GGAGGCGGGGGCCUCGUGGACCCCUCUGGCCAGGGGAAGGGAUUUGGGACAAAGGUGCAGGCUCGGGUGGGGGCUGGCACGGUCAUCUGCUGCUUUGCAGCCCGUCCGCUGCGUGCCCCCACCCCUGGGAUGUGCCAGCUUAUUACCCUCACCCUGUCCUCUUCUCCUUUCAAGCCUCCUGCAGGACCCUGGAUCUGAGGCUCCCACACAGACUCCAGAAUGGCCUUUCCUUCCACGUCUGAGUUCCCUUCUGCGUGGGGUCCCAGGUCUUCCUCCACCCCAUGGGCCAGAACCUUUUAUCUGGGAGCCCAGGGCUCUUUUCCCGGCCUUGCCUUGAGGGAGGCGUCUGAGUCCCGGAAGCUCACCUGCCAUCAGAGCUUUUGUCCACUUGCUUCCGAGGCACCACGCCUCGCUCUCCUGAGCGGCCAGUGCCGUGAUGAGUGUCGAGGACCAUGAUCCUCUUCACCUCUGUGUGCCUCUCUAAAAUCAAAGCCAGUCCUCUAACCAACCAACCCGGCCUCUGCUAAACAGACCAUAGCAGAGCCCUCCCACGUUAUCGACGUGUAUUUCAACCCCGGGGUCUUCUGAAGAUGAUGCCUCCGUUCGCUUUAAAGGUCUCGGGGGGACUCCCUCAAGAAAUCAUGAAUCCCGAACCCCUGCCUCAGGCUCUGCUGUUGAGAAACCCACGCUUAAGAGAAUCUGGGUGGCCUGGAGCAGAUCAUCGGACAAUCUGAGCCUCAGCGCCCUCAACCAAUCCCUCGGGAGGUGUUGCAGCUCACCUUGUAUGAAUCACUCUGCAACUUGCUUUUUUUCACUCAGCAACAUGUCUUGGAUGUCUGUCUGCGUCGACACGUCCAGAUCUCCACGAUGCUUUUAAACGGCUGCGCUGGAUUAUAUGCUAUAUAUGACACAUGUCAUAAGCUGUCAAAGUACAGCCUGUCUAGUCAUUGGAUUGGUUCGUCAUGGAUUUUUAAGUCGGCCGUAAUACUUUGUUUUGCUUCCACGAUUUUUAUUCAUACUGUGUCUGUAUCAUACUCUAUUUUUAUUCCUACUGGAUUCAAAGUCUACAAAGUACUCAUCGAGUAGUGCUGCCCUGAAAAUUGAGGCAUCCCAAAGGGGCGCUGCUGUCCCCACCCCCCUGAGAAGUAGAUGAGGUUAGACCUGGGGUCUGGAAGGCACUGGGCCCUUCCCGGAUUCAGGACAAGCGAAAGCGCUCAGACAGGGUCUGGUGACCGGCCCGGGCUCGUACACGGCAGA